rnacentral:lncRNA from 1 species
ACGAACAGAGGCCCGUCAUCAUCUUCAAGAGCUCUUUUAGUCCUCAGGGAACGCUGAAAAAGCAAGGGGCCAAAAGUCACCAUGCGACUCACUUUGAACAAGGCUCUCUUCCUUUCCUAUCUGUUGACAGUCGCCCUCUCCCGCGAAGCCCCACCUCCAGAUCUCAACGCCACUGCAUCUCGCCCGCCGUGCGACGGCCUGGGCGGCGCAACCGAGUGCCUCAUUGCUUACCGGCAGCCGGAGUUGGAGCUCGUGGCGGGCUCGAAUGGAUACGACAUCUACAAAAAUCUACACCCAGGCCCCGCCGACUGUGACAGAGGCAAACCGUACAAGAGCUGCCUUCCACCGCAGAACCCAACACCAAAGUGUGACUUCUUUAAUAGGAACUACCCUCAUUGUUGAUGGACAUUCCAAAUCACGUCGGCUAGUACCCGCUUCCUUCUGCUCCAACCCCGUGUCCCCAAACUGUCAGCUGUAAGAAUUUGCAUUUAGAUUUGUAUGUGUUGACGAUGUUAGUAACUGCAAACUGCAAUUAUAACUGGACUUAUCGGUUUGAUAUAUGUAUCCUGUAUAGGUUUAUAGUUGAAUAUAUCAAAUGUAUCCACCUUCUAGGGUUGAUACAUUCGAUUGGAGUGUAUGUACGAGUACGAAAACUUUUUCAAGCAUCCCGAUUUCUUAAGCAAGAUCGAACGUUUUUCUUCCCGGGCAUGCCCAAAUGUCGACUUAACCCAUUCCAUACAAACCCAAGAAGCCAAUAAGCUCAACCUAAACCUGAUGCAGCUAAACCCAGCAGACCCGGAACCCAACUUAGAGAUGGAUCUCGUGAAAUUACACAACUGCAGAUUCAUCCACAACUUAUCAGCUGGCGUGCCAUUUCUCACAGCAAGAUCUCGAGCACACGAGCAACCGCAGUUCUUCUUCGCAUCAGACAAAAGCCAGAAGGCCAAGAGACAAAGUUCAGCUACAUCGAGCACAAAAUUUUAACAUCUAAUGCUCCAGUUGCUACAUGUGUCGGCCUUGAUAUCCACAAGUACUUCAUUCCUUCUCCCAUGCAUCGUGCUUUCCGAAACAAUCCGAAUAUAGAAGGAUAUCCAGCAGCCACCUUGCCGACGUGGGGGAUCGCAAGGGACAAAAGUAGUUCAUAGCAUUUCACCAGUCGCACGAGAAGGAAUCUGCCUGGGGGCAUACCGAGCUCAUCCAGGUUCGGGCUCGAGGGAUAAGAUCAGCGAGUGUCGGCGAGCAAUUACGUUCUUGGACACCGCAUGCUUCACCCAGAUUCCAUCAACUUAAUCUGUAAUAAUCGAAUAUCUUUUCAAUGUUGGUGGGCCUAUGUGAUGAAUUAUCUCGAUUAAUCUAAUUUUAGGUCGCUUUCCUUAGGGCCUAGGUAGGAAUCUAAUCCCAUCGUUUCCAGCGCACGGUUUAUCAAAACCGCCCCCCGACACACCCCCAAAAAAAAUAAAAAAUAAAAC